UCCCAAAGUGCUGAUAUUUACAGGCAUGAGCCACCGUGCCCAGCCAGUACUAAUUUUUUUCUAAAGUGGCCACUCUUUUAAAAAUUCCCACCUGCAAUGUGGGUGGUAAGGUACAUAUCCUUAUCAGCAAUUGUUAUGAUCUGCCUUUUUAAAUAUAUGUAUUCCACUGAACCUUUUUGGAUUUUUGUGUUUGUGCUUGUUCGUUUGUUUGAAACAGGGCCUGGCUCUGUCACCCAGGCUGGAGCGCAGUAAUGUGAUCUAAGCUCACUGCCACAUCCCCUUCCCAGGCUCAAGCCAUCCUUCCACCCCAACCUCCUGAGUAACUAGGACCACGGGCGCGUGCCACCAAGCCCGUAUCAUUUUUGUGUGUAUUUUUUAUUGAGACAAAUUUCACCCCAUUGCCCAGACUCAUCUCAGACUCCUGGGCUCAAGCAAUUCUCCCACCUCAGGCUCCCAAAGUGCUGGGAUUACAGGCAUGAGUCACCUCAGCCAGCCUCCAGUGAACUUUUAAAGAUUUAGCGCUUGGCCCCCGGGACCUCCCUAGAGUCAGUAUUGGUGGCUUUGUUUUGUAUGCACCAUUUUCUCUCUGUGUUAUGGGAGAUGUCAAGGAAUCAAAAAAGCAAAUAACACCAGAAACUGCUGGAAGGAUCCCUGUUUUAAAUCCUUUUGAAAGUCCUAGUGAUUAUUCUAAUCUCCGUGAACAAACUCUCGCCAGUCCUUCUGUUUUUAAAUCAACAAAAUUACCAACUCCAGGGAAAUUUAGAUGGUCUAUUGGUCAACUAGCUGUAAUAAAUCCUGUAGAAAUAGACCCAGAAGAUAUUCAUCAUCAAGCUUUAUACUUAAGUCAUUCUCGAAUAGAUGAAGAUGUGGAAGACAAAAGACAAAAAGCCAUUGAAGAGUUUUACACUAAAGACGUCAUCAUACCCUCUCCUUGGACUGAUCAUGAAGGGAAACAGCUUUCACAAUAUCAUUCCAGUAAAUGCACUCAUGUAAAUAGUGACUUUCCAAUUGGAUAAAAGCUGACCAUUUAUUCUGAGAAAAGCAAUGCUGUUUGUCAGACAUUGCUGUCUCUUCCUGUGGAUUUUAAUUUAUAAAAUAUAUUAGGUGACUAUUUUAGAGCUGAUGAAUUUGCAGAUCAAUCUCCUGGAAACCUCAAUUCUUCAUCCCUCAGAAGAAAGCUGUUUUUAGAUGGGAACGGAAGCAUCUCUGACUCCUUACCUUCAGCUUCUCCCAGAAGUCCUCAUAGUGGUGUUCAAACAUCACUUGAGAUGUUUUAUUCAAUAGAUUUGUCACCUGUAAAGUGUAGGAGCCCCUUGCAGACAUUAAGUUCGGCGCAUUUCUUCUAGCCCUAUUCAGGCUAGUGCAAAAAAAUACAGCUUGGGACGCAUAACUAGUCCUUCACCUAUUUCUUCACCCACUUUCUCACCAAUUGAACUUCAGAUAGGAAAGACUCCACUCUCAGAACAAAGGAGGUUUACUCUUCAUUCUCCUGAUGCUUCAUCUGGAACAAAUUCUAAUGGGAUUACUAAUCCGUGUAUCAAAAGUCCUUAUAUAGAUGGCUGCUCGCCAAUUAAAAAUUGGUCUCCUAUGAGACUUGAGAUGUGUAAAGGUGGUACUCAGUAUCGGACCUCACUGAUUCAGAUACCUUUUACUCUUGAGACUCAAGUUGAAGAUGAGGAAGAUAAAGAGAAUAUUCUUUCCACGGAUGUCUCAUCGCCAGCCAUGGAUGCUGCGGGAAUACACCUGUGGCAGUUAUGGUACACAUUUGGUUGUGACUGCCUUGUCUGUUACACAAAAUCAGUCCAGUGCUUCUGAGAAAGACUUAGCACUGUUGCAGGAUGUUGAAAGGCAGAAAGACAAUAACACUGUGGAUAUGGUUGAUCCUAUAGAGAUAGCAGAUGAGAACACUUGGAUUAAGGAGCUGGUUGAUAAUGGCAGUUUACCCAUGACUGAUUUUGUGAGUGGCAUUGCCUUCAUUAUUGAAAUCUCUCAUAUGUGCAUGUCACCUCUUGCUGAAAGCAGUGUCAUUCCUUGCGAAAGCAGCAACAUUCAGAUGGAUAGUGGCUAUAAUACGCAGAAUUGUGGAAGUAAUAUUACGGAUACAGUUGGCGCAGAAAGUUACUGCAAACAAAGUGAUGCACAAACCUGUGGAGUUGAGAGUAUAUCUCAAGCAUUUAAUAUGAGACAAGACCACACAACACAGAGGUGUUGGAUGAAAACAGCAAGUCCUUUUCAAUGCAACAGUCCAUAGAAUACCUUUGUCAGAAUCAAAGACUAAGCUUAAGAGUUCCUCGCAUAUAUCGUUGUGCACAGGAUCAAUGUGAUGGUGAUUGGGAAAAAAUUACUUCAAGUAACAUGCUUUGCUUUCCCUCCUUAAUGUGAAAAAUCAAGGGCUUACUGACAUAGGAACAACAGAAAUGCUCCUGGAACUUCAAGUUGCUGAAUUAUAAAUUUAUUUUUUAUCAAUAAAUUUUUUUUUUUUUGUAUUUUUUUUUUUUUUAGUAGAGACAGGGUUUC